rnacentral:rRNA from 1 species
CUUUCCUUUGGUCAUUCUGUUUCGAUAAGGCUGAGGAGAAACCUCGAGCGGCGGUGGAGAGGAGGCGAGGAAUAGCUCGAGGGGUGGCGGAGAGGAGGCGAUUCAUGGUGAUUCCGAGCUAUUCCACCAUUGGAUUUUGAUCUCUCCCCCCUUUCUCUUCGCUCCUCAGCUGCCAUUGUUGGUUCCCCUUGUCUCUCGCGUUUCCCGUCCCGUAGUUCCAGAUCUAGGUGAGUUUCGUGGUCGUGGUUUGUGGAUCGUAUGUUUGCUGUUGUUCGUGGAUCUGUGAUAGGUGCUGCCAUGUUGUUCUAGUCCGUCCAAUUUCCCCACUCCAUUCUGCUCGCCUGAGUUGUGUAGGAGCUUGUAGUUGUGGGUUCUAGGUCUGUAGUUGUGUAGGAGGUUGUAGUUGCGGAUUCUAGGAGCUUUGUGGUUGUUUUUCUCCCCUGAUUGUAGGUGUGUUAGGCUUUAGUUUUUGUUUUAUUUUGUGUUGUGGUGGAGGUACACGUACUGGUAGUUGCAGUGGUGUCUGUCCCCUUGCUGUUAGACGAUAGUUGUAGGUGGC